AAUGACGGUGCUAAGUGAAAGACACAACUUAUAUAUAUAUAUAUAUAUUUAUAUAUAUAUGUAUAGAAGCCUACAAAAAAAUUAAUGGUUACUUAACUUGUUGAAUAAAUACACAACACUUGUGAAUUAAUGUCAUGAUUUUCCAUCUGUGUGAAUUUAGGUUAUACUCUCCAUAUAUAUCUGUAACCUUAAAUUUUAUCUUGGUAAAUAACUGAUCAACAUCAUUGAAUAAAUACACAACACUCGUAAAUAGAACAUCUAUUUGGGUUGGGUCUUCCUCGGAGUGAAAAUUCCCCUGAGAAUGACCCAUUUCUUCUUCAAACUCAAUUUACUUGUCACAAUAUCAAUUGUUU
rnacentral:lncRNA from 1 species